AGGGGAUCACCAGAUCCUGGGAUGUGCCCCCCCGGCGCCUUUGGCUCUGGGGUCUGCGCUGUUGGAAUCACACCCCCAGGACUGUGCAGCCCCCU
rnacentral:pre_miRNA from 1 species